CGUUUUUUGGGUCUAGUGGUUAGGACAUUGGACUUUGAAUCCAGUAACCCGAGUUCAAGUGUCGGCAGGACCU
rnacentral:tRNA from 11 species